UACGAAUGGGGCAAGCGUUGUUCGGAAUUACUGGGCUUAAAGCGUGCGCAGGCGGACUUGAAAGUCAGAAGUGAAAGCCCCGGGCUCAACCCGGGAAUUGCUUUUGAAACUCCAAGUCUAGAAUCCGGUAGAGGUCAGGAGAAUUCCUAGUGUAGAGGUGAAAUUCGCAGAUAUUAGGAGGAAUACCAGUGGCGUAGGCGCCUGACUGGGCCGUUAGUCAAGCUCAGGCACGAAAGCGUGGGGAUCAAACAGG
rnacentral:rRNA from 1 species